rnacentral:rRNA from 1 species
UGGGGAAUAUUGCACAAUGGGCGCAAGCCUGAUGCAGCCAUGCCGCGUGUGUGAAGAGGCCUUCGGGUUGUAAAGCACUUUCAGCGAGGAGGAAGGUGGUGAACUUAAUACGUUCAUCAAUUGACGUUACUCGCAGAAGAAGCACCGGCUAACUCCGUGCCAGCAGCCGCGGUAAUACGGAGGGUGCAAGCGUUAAUCGGAAUUACUGGGCGUAAAGCGCACGCAGGCGGUUUGUUAAGUCAGAUGUGAAAUCCCCCGGGCUCAACCUGGGAACUGCAUUUGAAACUGGCAAGCUAGAGUCUCGUAGAGGGGGGUAGAAAUUCCAGGUGUAGCGGUGAAAUGCGUAGAGAUCUGGAGGAAUACCGGUGGCGAAGGCGGCCCCCUGGACGAAGACUGACGCUCAGG